AAAUUCUUAGGUUUGGUCUUGAGGCAAGAACUGGGUAGUUGGUGAACUCGCUAUAUGUAGUUCGUUAACUCGCUACAUGAUUCUUGUUACAAGACCGGGUAUGUGAAGAU
rfam:Oryza punctata chromosome 1, whole genome shotgun sequence.